UAGUCUAGUACGAGCGCACCCUUAUCUUUAGUUGCCAGCAGAUUCGUGUCGGGGACUCUAGAGAAACUGCCUGCAUAAGCAGAAAGGAAGGUGGGGACAAUGUCAAGUCAUCACGGCCCUUACGCCCUGGGCCACACACGUGCUACAAUGGUAGGUACAGAGGGCAGCUACCGUGCGAGCGGAUGCAAAUCUCAAAAACCUAUCUCAGUUCGGAUUGGAGUCUGCAACUCGACUCUAUGAAGCUGGAAUCGCUAGUAAUCGCGUAUCAGCCAUGACGCGGUGAAUACGUUCCCGGGCCUU
rnacentral:rRNA from 1 species